GUCGAGCGAAUCGAUGGGAGCUUGCUCCCUGAGAUUAGCGGCGGACGGGUGAGUAACACGUGGGCAACCUGCCUAUAAGACUGGGAUAACUUCGGGAAACCGGAGCUAAUACCGGAUACGUUCUUCUCUCGCAUGAGAGAAGAUGGAAAGACGGUUUACGCUGUCACUUAUAGAUGGGCCCGCGGCGCAUUAGCUAGUUGGUGAGGUAAUGGCUCACCAAGGCGACGAUGCGUAGCCGACCUGAGAGGGUGAUCGGCCACACUGGGACUGAGACACGGCCCAGACUCCUACGGGAGGCAGCAGUAGGGAAUCUUCCGCAAUGGACGAAAGUCUGACGGAGCAACGCCGCGUGAACGAAGAAGGCCUUCGGGUCGUAAAGUUCUGUUGUUAGGGAAGAACAAGUACCAGAGUAACUGCUGGUACCUUGACGGUACCUAACCAGAAAGCCACGGCUAACUACGUGCCAGCAGCCGCGGUAAUACGUAGGUGGCAAGCGUUGUCCGGAAUUAUUGGGCGUAAAGCGCGCGCAGGUGGUUCCUUAAGUCUGAUGUGAAAGCCCACGGCUCAACCGUGGAGGGUCAUUGGAAACUGGGGAACUUGAGUGCAGAAGAGGAAAGUGGAAUUCCAAGUGUAGCGGUGAAAUGCGUAGAGAUUUGGAGGAACACCAGUGGCGAAGGCGACUUUCUGGUCUGUAACUGACACUGAGGCGCGAA
rnacentral:rRNA from 1 species